GCUGCUCCUCCCGGGGUGUGCGCGGCCAGGGGAGCUCCGGGAGCCGGGGGGCCGGCCCGGCGCACUCGGGACCGCCGGCACUGACCCUGCCGGGCGCUGGAGGAGCCUGUGCGGAACACGGAGAGGGUGAGCGGGGUCCCGUGGGGAGCCAUUCGAAGUGACGGGGACACUGCUUUGCUGUCCUGUGGCAUCUUCAGCAGGCCUGCGUCAGACCUCUCGCACAUGUAAACGCUGCUGGUGGUGCGCUGGAGAUUGCAGCUGAGCUUCACAGCACAGGCUAACCCAGCAGAAGACAAGGUAAAUACAAAUAGGAUAUGAACUGGGAAAUAGAGUUCCUAGCCUAGCUUAUCAGAAGGAACAUAAAUAG